GAUGAACGCUAGCGGCAGGCCUAAUACAUGCAAGUCGAACGGUAACAGGUCUUCGGAUGCUGACGAGUGGCGCACGGGUGAGUAACGCGUACGCAAUCUACCUUUAUCUGGGGGAUACACAUUGGAAACGGUGAAUAAUCCCGCAUACAAUCUUUGAGUGGCAUCACUUGGAGAUAAAAGCUUCGGCGGAUAGAGAUGAGCGUGCGUCUGAUUAGCUAGUUGGUGAGGUAACGGCUCACCAAGGCGACGAUCAGUAGGGGGCGUGAGAGCGUGAUCCCCCACAUGGGUACUGAGACACGGACCCAACUCCUACGGGAGGCAGCAGUAAGGAAUAUUGGUCAAUGGGCGGAAGCCUGAACCAGCCAUGCCGCGUGCGGGAAGAAGG
rnacentral:rRNA from 1 species